rnacentral:rRNA from 1 species
CCUACGGGAGGCAGCAGUGAGGAAUAUUGGUCAAUGGGCGCGAGCCUGAACCAGCCAAGUAGUGUGAAGGAUGACUGCCCUACGGGUUGUAAACUUCUUUUAUAAAGGAAUAAAGUGAGGCACGCGUGCCUUUUUGUAUGUACUUUAUGAAUAAGGAUCGGCUAACUCCGGGCCAGCAGCCGCCGUAAUACGGAGGAUUCGAGCGUUAUCCGGAAUUAUUGGGUUUAAAGGGAGCGUAGAUGGGUUGUUCAGUCCGUUGUGAAAGUUUGCGGCUCAAACGUAAAAUUGCAAUUGAUACUGGCAGCCUUGAGUACAGUUGAGGUAGGCGGAAUUCGUGGUGUAGCGGUGAAAUGCUUAGAUAUCACGAAGAACUCCGAUUGCGAAGGCAGCUUACUAAACUGCCACUGACAUUGAUGCUCGAAAGUGUGGGUAUCAAACAGGAUUAGAUACCCUAGUAGUC